CAGACGAUGCGUCAUGCAUAUCAAUAAGCGGAGGAAAAGAAACUAACAAGGAUUCCCCUAGUAACGGCGAGUGAAGCGGGAAGAGCUCAAAUUUGAAAUCUUAAAGGGUUUCCCUUUACGAAUUGUAGUUUAAAGAAGUGUUUUCUGUUGAGGUUUUGGUAAAAGUUCUUUGGAAUAGGACAUCAUAGAGGGUGAGAAUCCCGUAUUUGACCUUUACUUUCAACUUUGUGAUACACUUUCAAAGAGUCGGAUUGUUUGGGAAUGCAGUCCAAAAUGGGUGGUAAAUUUCAUCUAAAGCUAAAUAUUGGCGAGAGACCGAUAGCGAACAAGUACCGUGAGGGAAAGAUGAAAAGAACUUUGAAAAGAGAGUUAAACAGUACGUGAAAUUGUCAAAAGGGAAGCGUUUGACACCAGUGUUGUUUUUCUGAAAAUCAAUUAAAGAACUGUUUAUGCUAAGCUGUUUAGACUUUAUCAGCUAUACUGUUUAGUUUUGAGCUUUUCUUUAAUGCACUUUUCAGUUAACAAGUCAACAUCAAUUUCUUUUGCUGUAAAAAAGCUUGAGGAAGGUGGCUUGAGAUUCGUCUUAAGUGUUUAUAGCCUCUUGCCUAUGCAGUCGGAGAGAUUGAGGUCUGCAGCGUAGAUCCUUCGGGGCUAAAUGCAUUUGUGCUAAGUUAUAACAUUUUAUAGACAACUUGUUGACUAUGAUUUGUCUUGUAGCUUACUCGCUUAUGUUAUUUUACCUACGCUUAGGAUGUUGAAUCUGUGCGAGACUAC
rnacentral:rRNA from 1 species